rnacentral:rRNA from 1 species
GACGAACGCUGGCGGCGUGCCUAAUACAUGCAAGUAGAACGCUGAAGAGAGGAGCUUGCUCUUCUUGGAUGAGUUGCGAACGGGUGAGUAACGCGUAGGUAACCUGCCUUGUAGCGGGGGAUAACUAUUGGAAACGAUAGCUAAUACCGCAUAACAAUGGAUGACACAUGUCAUUUAUUUGAAAGGGGCAAUUGCUCCACUACAAGAUGGACCUGCGUUGUAUUAGCUAGUAGGUGAGGUAACGGCUCACCUAGGCGACGAUACAUAGCCGACCUGAGAGGGUGAUCGGCCACACUGGGACUGAGACACGGCCCAGACUCCUACGGGAGGCAGCAGUAGGGAAUCUUCGGCAAUGGGGGCAACCCUGACCGAGCAACGCCGCGUGAGUGAAGAAGGUUUUCGGAUCGUAAAGCUCUGUUGUAAGUCAAGAACGAGUGUGAGAGUGGAAAGUUCACACUGUGACGGUAGCUUACCAGAAAGGGACGGCUAACUACGUGCCAGCAGCCGCGGUAAUACGUAGGUCCCGAGCGUUGUCCGGAUUUAUUGGGCGUAAAGCGAGCGCAGGCGGUUUGAUAAGUCUGAAGUUAAAGGCUGUGGCUCAACCAUAGUUCGCUUUGGAAACUGUCAAACUUGAGUGCAGAAGGGGAGAGUGGAAUUCCAUGUGUAGCGGUGAAAUGCGUAGAUAUAUGGAGGAACACCGGUGGCGAAAGCGGCUCUCUGGUCUGUAACUGACGCUGAAGGCUCGAAAGCGUGGGGAGCGAACAGG